rnacentral:ncRNA from 1 species
AAGGGUUCAGAUGAGGAUCUGAUGAAAAGGGAAGCGGGGUGAAAAUCCCCCACAGCAGCCACUACUGUAAUUGCGGACAAGAAACGAAGGAACCACUGCCUUUGGCGGGAAGGUGUUUUGCGGAUGAAGCAGAAGUCAGGAGACCUGCCUUUAUAAU